AUACAACAAAUACAACACUGCGAGGUAUGUUUUUCGAGUAUGCUAUUCUAUCAGCUGUAUCUGUUUACAUUUUAAAGUUUAAGUUAAAAAUAAAUUUAAUCAAUUUCGGUAAUAAUAUGGAAGGAAGGAAUCGUUGCGAUAUUUAGUGUAAACCAAAACUCGAUAGAAGAAAAAGCGCUUGUGGAGUUCCUAAUGGAAAUUAGAAGUUUCGAGGAACCAACGGCUCAAAACUUCUAUGGUCGGUUUAUCCAAGAAAGGCAAGUGGUGGCAGGAUGGAAAAUAGUGCGCGCAAAAGUUUGCAACAUGCGCACUAAUUAUAAUAAAGCAAAGGCGUGGGAAGGGUCGACAGUUGCAGGAAACAUGGAAGGCGACACAAUAGAAAGUAAAUUCUUAUAAUAAAAUUUGAAUGUUGAAGAUGUGGCACAAACACAAAGUCGAGGGCAGAAGGGAAUUUAUUCCAAAACUGCCUUGUCGGAUAUUUUAGAUGUUCAUGGCGAGAUUGCGAAGAUAAGGAAGCAAAAGUUAGAGAUGGAUGUGGCAGCAAGGGAAAGGGAAACGUCAAGUAAAGAAAAAGAACAAGAGCUAAAAGAAAAAGAAAUAGAGCUAAAAAAAAUUGACGAUAAAAUAGAAAUAGAAAAAAUUAAAUUGCAAAUGCAGGAGAGGUUGGCAAUGGAGGAACUUAGACUUAAAUAUAAGUAAUAUUAUUAUUAAUACAUUUUUAGUUCACAUUUGUUAUGAAGUUAUUUUUUUGUGCUUUUUUGUGUUUUAAAUGAAGUUUUAAUGCUAUUAUAAAUUUUUUUGCGAUCUUAAUAGUUCUUAGUACCUUUUGAAGUAAUAUAAUAUGAAAAUACGAUGAAAACCAUGUUGCAAUGCAUGUACCUAACGCAAAAUAAAACAAGUAAGGAAGAGC